rnacentral:rRNA from 1 species
GACGAACGCUGGCGGCGUGCUUAACACAUGCAAGUCGAACGGACAGGCCCUGCGUUUGUGGGGUGCUCGUUUGGCGAACGGGUGAGUAACACGCGAGUAUCCUGCCCUUGUCUUUGUGAUAGCUUCAGGAAACUCGGGCUAAUACCCGAUAGGAGCUCCUGCUCCAUGGUGGGGAUUGGAAAGUUUCGGCGGUUUUGGCUGGAUUGGCGGCUUAUCCGCUUGUUGGUCUGGUAGUUGCUUACCAAGGCUUUGACGGGUAGCCGGCCUGAGAGGGUGACCGGCCACAUUGGGACUGAGGUACGGACCAGAAUCCUACGGGAGGCAGCAGUGGGGAAUAUUGCACAAUGGGCGGACGCCUGAGGUAGCGGCGCCGCGUGCGGGAUGACGGCCUUCGGGGUGUAAACAGCUUUCGCCUGUGACGAAGCGUGAGUGACGGUACUGGGUAAAGAAGCACCGGCUAACUACGUG